GACGAACCGUGCGAACGUUGUUCGGAAUCACUGGGCUUAAAGGGCGCGUAGGCGGCUUGCCAAGUCCGGGGUGAAAUCCUCCAGCUUAACUGGAGAAGUGCCUUGGAUACUGGCGAGCUCGAGCGAGGUAGGGGCGGGUGGAACUUCCGGUGGAGCGGUGAAAUGCGUUGAUAUCGGAAGGAACGCCGGUGGCGAAAGCGACCCGCUGGACCUCUUCUGACGCUGAGGCGCGAAAGCUAGGGGAGAGAACGGG
rnacentral:rRNA from 1 species